UGGCUGGAUGACGGCGGUGCUUGCGGCU
rnacentral:sRNA from 1 species